NNNNNNNNNNNNNNNNCCCCGGCCGCCCGCGCCCGCCGGGGCCGGGGCUCCGAGGCCAGGUCGUCUCCCCCGAGGAGCUGAGGGAGCCGCUUCCGUCCGCGCACAACUUGGGGCGCGCGGGUUCCACGUCCGGCUCCCAGAGGAGAAAGGCGCGCGUCCCCGACCGCGGCGCCCGCGCGGACCCCAACGAUGUGGACCUCAGCCAUGGCGUUUCUUGUCAACUGCCAGCUCACCUGCCCCCGACACCGGACAUACGUGUCUCCAUGUCUGCCAGUGACCUGCCGAGGGGCCCGCAGAUUUUCUGUGAGCACUUCCUGUGUGCUUCUACCUCUCUGCUCAGGCAGCAGAGAGAAAGAUGCAGAGAGAGUACAAUUAGAGCAGCAGGCAGACAGUGAGGGAGAAGCAGGCUCCCAAGGAGCAGGGAGCCUGAUGCGAGGCUCCAUCCCAGCACCCUGGGAUCAUGACCUGAGCUGACAGCGGCCGCAAAACUGAGUUGCCCAGGCACCAUGAGAACCUCGUCUUUAACUUCACCUGCUACUAUGUACUCUGGAAGGUAUUGUCAAAAUGUUUUUUCUGUUUAACACUAGAUAACUACUGAGGUGUUGAAUGAGUUUUGUAGAGCUAAAUCAUAAAAUUUAAUGUAUUUGUGUUUUCAUUUCCAAAGCCUGCAUCACAAGAGUCCUCAGACAUCAGCAAUGACCACAAGACACCACUGGCAGCUCACCAGUAAGAAAGAUGACCUGUCCAGGUAAGACUCUGAGACCCAGGAAAUGAUGAAGAGAAACUCCUCCAAUCCUAAAGGAUUCCUG
rnacentral:lncRNA from 1 species